AAUCAGAAUGUCAAAGUGUCUCUGAGGAUUCCUAGGAAAUCUGAGGCACUUUACAAAGAGCCCGCCCUGGGUGAAAGACCGGCCGGAAUGAAUCGUUAAUAUACUUCACUAGAAGGGGACUCUUCCAAAAUGCUAAUCCAAUCAACCCACAAGGCAAACUUCAGGCUUCUUGUUCAGUGAUCACACAGAGGAUCUCAGGGCUAGGGCUCUGCUCUGGGGAGGCCAGAGGCCCUGUUCCUCAAACCAGGGAGAAGCCACACCCCCAAUAUGUCACAGCUGCUGAAAGUGGAGCCUGUGGGCCCAGUACCUCCUGUCACAAUCAGCCAGGACAACAUAGACUGACUGCCGCCCCCUGGGCUCUGGAGGGAGCCCUCACAUCUUUGGAGAAGGCAUCACCAGGAAAGCACAUGUGUUGAGAAACGAACUGUUGGAAGAACAAAGGAUUCGCUGGCCCUCUGGAGAGAAACUCUGGUGCUUUUCAGCUGUGUGAGCAUGGGUGACUUGCUUGGUCUCUCUGAGCUCCACUUCCUUCAUCUGUAAGACGAGAAUAGCCAUCACGGCUCCCACCUUCACAGGAAGAUCACUAAUCCGGUGAGGAAACACAAGGAGCGUAUCUGGUACACUGGGGCUGGUGCAGAAGAAUCUGAUACUGUUAUCUUGUCAUCUUACUUUGCCAGAGCAGAUCUGGGGCCCCCACCUCCAUCCAGGUGCCCAGAGGCCUGAGAAGCUGUCGAAAGCACUGAACCUAAUGUGUAUAACUGCAGGAGAUGCCAGCCAUCUCCUCCAGAUGC